CCCCCAUCAAACCAUAUAUUUGUGAAAAGUAGACACCCUAGGGUAUUUCAGAUGGUGGUAUUUUAACACUUUUCACGUACUAAUACUACCACCAGUCUCUGUCAAAUGUUAGGGUAGUCUUUUUUUGUGUGUUAUUUUUCUACUUUAGGCAUGGAUUCUCAGCUCCUGUUAGGAGUUACUGCCAAAGAACACCCCAAUAUGUGUUCAGCAACAUCUCCUGAGUACAGCAAUACCACCUAUGCAUAGGUUUGUUGGGCUGUUUGCGGGGUGCAAAGCCAAACGUCUGACAUGUGUUUUUCAAAUUUUACAUAUCUUCUUUGCCUAUCAUCUUUUUGGGGCCUUUUCAGAUAUCCCAAUUUAUUUUCUUGCCAUGAGCAUGCACGUAUUUUAUAUGGAGUGCUUUGAUGCCUUUGAUGCAAUCGUUUUAGUCAAAAACUUGGAGAAAGUGUGUGGUGGUAAUUGUUCAAUUUUCAUUUUUACGCACACAUUGCUUUUUGACUGUGAUUUAGGAGAGCCUGUUGUUGGUUAUUGCAAGAAAACACUCCAAGUUGUUUUCUGCAAGGCCUCCUUAGUACACCCAUGCCUCCCCAUGCAUAGGGUAAACGUAGCUAAAAAAAACACAAAAAAAAUGAAGGGCAAAUAUUAAAAAAAAUGAGUCCCCAAUGCAGAUUCUAGGCUGUCCAGGGCAAGCAGGACAGUGAUAUACAGUAUCUUUUCUCUGCCCCCUCUUAAAACAGACUCUGCAUCUUUUUUUGGGAUUCUGCUUCGCCGCAGUAGGGGGAAUUUUAAAAAUAAAAUGUGUAACCCGUACUCUGCUCUCUCCCAUCACCGCCUGCGGAGCAGGUGCAUCACUGUUCAAAAUCCCCAAAAUGAUGUGGAGCUGAAACUUUCAAAAACUAAGUUGCGUCCAGGGCUUUGCUUUUUUGAACAAUAAAAAAGCGUUGUGGCUGGCAAUCUGCAUUAGGUAGAUUGCAACCUUUUUGUACCAGGCCCUUGUCUUGCAUAUAAUUACGUAGGGCUGCAGCAGCUGAUCUGCCAGAUCAACCCCACCCAUAUGCCGGUUAUAGGCCUUGAUGCACACUGGCUUCCUUGUGCUCUCAGCUCUGCCACGAUCUGAGACCUCCACAGUCCCCUCAGUGUGGAUGGUGGUAAGAAGGUUCACACCCUUCUUGUCUCUGUACUUAACUGCCAACAGCUUCUCUUGGCGCAGAGCUGAGGUCUGCCAUCUUCGUAGCCGGGUGCGUGCAAGUUGUCCUGGGAAACCUGUGCUGUUCUUUUUGACUGUACCGCAAGCUAAUGUAUCAAAACAGUACAGUAGCUUGAACAAAGGGACACUUGUAUAAAAAUUGUCAGUAUACAAGUGGUACCCUUUGUUCAUCCGGGGGAAUAUCAGGUCGCAGACAAUAUUGCCACUGGUUCCCAUAUGUUCUGGGCAACCUGGAGGGUCAAGGUGGCUAUCCUUUCCCUCAUACACCCGGAAGGCCUGAGUAUACCCAGUAUCUCUAUCACAGAGCUUAUACAUCGUUACACCAUACCUAGAGCGCUUGGAAGGAACAUACUGCUUGAAUCCCAGCCGUCCCUUAUAAUUCAUCAGGGAUUCAUCCACGCAUAUAUUCCUUCCAGGUGUAUAAGCCUCUGCAAACCUGGCAGCAAAGUGGGUAAUCAGGGGGCGGAUUUUAUACAGCCUGUCAAAUUGGGGAUGCUCCCUAGAGGGACACAGGCUGUUGUCGCUGAAGUGCAUGAAAUGCAGAAUCAUUUCAUACCUCUUCCUCGACAUACAUUGGGAGUAAAUGGGGGUAGAGCAGAUGGGGCUACUGCUCCAGUAGGAGCGGAUGGAGGGCUUCUUUAUGAUGCCCAUCAGCAUAGUCAAUACCCAGAAUCUUUUAAAUUCUGGCACAUCGAUGGGGGCCCAUUGCUGCUUUGCCAAAAAAGACUCAGGCUUAGAAGCACGGAACUGAUCGGCAUAUCAAUUAGUUUGGGCAACAAUGUUCCCCAAUACAUCAUCGCCCAGAAACACCUCCACAAACUGCUGAGGGCUAAAUCCUGCGACAUCCAAAUUAAUGCCAGGAUUUGCAGUAAAGGAUGGGAUGUCUGGCCUCUGGUGAUGAGGCACUACCCACUCCUCAGCAGUUCUGCCAGCUGGAGCAGCACGUCUCCUUCUGGCAGGGGGACUAGCAGGCACAGAUACAACAUCAGUAGAUAAAUCACUAGCAGCAGACACUGUAUCUAGUGAUGAUGUAUCUGAGCACCUGGCAGGGUCAAAAUCAGGGUCAGAGUCUGACAGACGCGUCAGGCUCUAGCGCAAGGGCAUAUGACUGCUUUGAAACAGCUACCUUAAACCAUCUUUUAUGACAGGUAGUGUAGGCAAAAACAUAACCUUAUAUUUAAACCUUAUUUACAUAUGUCCCACAACAGUGUGCGUGGUGCGGCUCAGUCGGCCCGCUAAGGGCACUCAGUUCGGGCCACUGUCCGUGAACUCCUGGGGAUGAAAGUCUCAGAGUUAGCUGGGUUCCAUACAUGUGGUCUGGAGGGGAUGUUUGGUUGCUGCAGAGCGUCUGGUGGGAGGCCCAAGGUAGCAAGUUGUGUCUUCGCCUCCUGCAGGUCCGCUAUGAGGUAUGUGUUGUCUCCCUGCAACACCUGGAGCUUGUGUGGUGAGCGCCAUUGAUAUUUAAGAUUAUGGGCGCGGAGUAGGGUGGUGAAGGGUCUCAUGGUUGAGCGCCAGGCAAUAGUUCCUCUGGAUAAAUCUGUGUAUAGUGAGAGGGCCAUGUCCUCAAUGGGGUAUGGUUUUUUUCCCCUAAUGGCGGUCAUGACAGCUGCUUUGUCCUGCUGCUUUUGAAAUUUAACAAUUACGUCCCUGGGUGCCGCCAGAGGAGCCGUUGUCGGUUUGGGGAUUCUGAAUAUGCCAUCCAGGCCUACCCCUUUAGCUUGCUUCGGCUGGAGUAUGUUACCUAUUAGGCGCAUCAUGAGGUGAGGGAGUUCUGAAUCUGGGACCGACUCUGCUAUGCCUCAAAUCUUUAUAUUUUGGGCCCUGCGUGAGUCUUCCAGUACCGCCAUUUUCUGUUCCACUCUCAGGUGCUGCUGUUGCAGCGUUUUUACCUCCUGCUGGAGCCUGGCUACAGUCCUCGAGUGGUUGAGGGAAUCUUGUUCCAAAGUUCCCAUGGUUGUUAGACCCUGUAUGUCUUUCCUCAUGUCGGCUACAUCCGCUUGGAUAUUCCGGCAGAGCUCUGCUAGCAGAUCCCUCAUUUCGGCCUUUGUGACCGGAGCCGUGUCCGGCUGCGUUCUUGGUUGCACUGCCUCUUGUGUUACGGGUAAGUGUGUGACUUCAUGCUCCGAGAGUCGCUCAUCGGAGUCGUUGAAGUCGUCGAGGUAGGCAUCCAUGUUGGGUUCCGAGGCGCCAUGUGCUCGCCGCCAUAAGUCCCCUAUGCUGGUGCCCGGCCAGGGCAGUUCUUGUUUUGGCUUUUUGUUUUUUCCUGCCCAUUGGUAGUCCACUGCAGUGGGGCAGUCUUGGUUGCUUUUGAGAGGGUAAAAUAGUUUUUUAUUCUUGCUUUUUCUCAGUUAAAUCUCGGAGCUCUCAGAAGAUGCGACCAGUCGUUUCGGCUGUUAGUUCCGCCCCCCUAAAUCAUUUAUUUUAAAACACUUAUGUUAGGUUAUGUUACAUUGUGUGCAAUAAAGAUAAAAUAAUUUUUGGUAUUCAUUAUAUUAGGUACUGAUUGCCACCUGUGGUUCCAUAACAAUAACCACCCUUUGUGUCCCUCCCUAAGGGCCUUUGCCUUUUUUUCCACAAAGCAUGAUAUCCCCGGAACACAGGAAAUAAAACAUAUGAGUAUAU